GAAGUCGCCAUAUAUGAGAAGCCUGAAAGGAAAAAAAAUCAAAGAUAGGAGGAGUAUAUUGAAAUUUUCCAAACAGGGACCGGGCACGGUGGCUUACACCUGUAAUCCCAGCACUUUGGAAGGCCGAAGCAGGCGGAUCAUCUGAGGUCAGGAGUUCGAGACCAGCCUGGCCAACAUGGUGAAACCCCGUCUCUACUAAAAAACACAAAAAUUAGUCAGGCGUGGUGACAGGUGCCUUAAUCCCAGCUACUUGGGAGGCAGAGGCAGGAGAAUCAUUUGAACCCGGGAGGCUGAGGUUGCAGUUAGCCAAGAUAAAGCCAUUGCACUUAAACCUGGGGGACAAGAGCGAGACUUCUCUCAAAAAAAAAAAAGAAAAGAAAAGAAAAGAAACUUUCCAAACAGGAUAAAAGGCACAGAAAAGAAGGCCACUGUGUACUCCUCCAAGAUUAUUCAGAAAUUGACAUUUUGCCAUGCUUGCUCCACAUUUCUUUCUUCUUAGGUUUAUAGAGGGAUAAUUUAUAUGCAGUAUAUAUUUUUUGUGUAAUAGUUUUGAUGUAAGGUUUUUCUUACACAUCAGGGUACAGGUUUCUUUGGUGGGCAAUUCUAUGAAUAUUUCUUCUUUCCUUUUCUAUUUUUAUUUUUGGGUAGACACAGAGUCUCACUCUGUUGCCCAGGCUGGAGUAAGGUGGUGCAAUCAUAGCUCACUGCAGCCUUGAACCCCUGGGCUAAAGGGAUCCUCCCACUUCAGCCUCUAGAGUAGCUAGGACUACAGGUGCAUGCCACACACCCGGCUCAAUUUUAUGAGUUUUUUUGUUUUUGUUUUUGUUUUUUUGUGACGGAAUUUUGCUCUUGUGCCCAGGCUGAAGUGCAAUAGCAGAAUCUCAGCUCACUGCAACCUCUGGCUCCCGGGUUCAAGCAAU
rnacentral:lncRNA from 10 species